rnacentral:antisense_RNA from 1 species
CUUCACCGAACCCAGCCACAACGGACGACCCUCACUCCGGCCCUGCCCAUACGCCGCAAUCAACGCCUGAGCCUC